AACAGAUUAAAGUGAUCGACAUCUAACAGGUAAAAAACUUUAUUCAUUCUUCUUUUAUAAAAAGUAACAAAUUAAAGUGAUUGUUUGAUUUGUGUUUUUGAGAUUUUUAGGGUUCUUCUUUUUUGAUGUGUUAAAAUAAUCUAUAUGAGGUUUAUUAAGCCAAUUCAUAACACUGUAAUUUACAAAUAUAGUUAUACACUGUAAUAAGGUUU
rnacentral:lncRNA from 1 species